UUGUGCCUGUGUGUGUGGCCACUUCUGGUGUCAAAGGAAUACAUAAAAUAGCUCAUUUUUCAAAAUCUAUGUCCUGGAGCCAUUAUUCUGCUUCUGACCUACAGUCUGGGAAUGGCUGAUUUGGCUGCAGUGAAGUUUUCACUCUUAUUUUACAGCUCCUGGAAGAAGGCCAGGCACUGGAGAGAGCCAGCAGGAGUAUGAGCUACUGCCGUGUGUUGGGACAGCCUGAAAAUGAAUGUCAUUUAUUCUCAGCUUUGAGAACUGAAUUCCAUGGGUUGUAAUUGAAUCUGCUGUCAGACCCAUGGGGCUCAGUUCUUCAGCUUGGAUAUUUCUGUCUUCACAUACACAGGAGAUCAAAGAAGCACUUGAUCAUUCUCUACCUCUUCUGGUGAUAGCAGCAAGCAGGAGAGGAAGCACGAGUGCUGUGAAUCAUUUCAGCAGGGAGGGGUCACUGCAAAGGCUCUCUCAGGAUAAAUAGCUGUGCAGUGAUUGAAUCUCUGUGAUCUCACAGGCUCUGGGCUGCUACCCACUGUUUGAUUAGCUUGAUUCUUUCCUCUCAUUGUUAUCAAGGCUACAUCUGAAUCCCUGAGAUGGUGUAGAUUGGAUGAUGUCCCCAAACCCUGCUGAGGGGUGCAUUCUCCUGUGGUGAGCUCCUUUAGACUGUGGAAACCUGGACCUCCCUUGGGCCGAGCACUAAAUUUGCCAACUGAUAAUCCACUACCCUGCUCUCUUGGUACCACUACUGUGCAGUUAUUGCCUCAUUUGCUUUGUCCUGUGCCAAAUACCCAUUUUUGACAGAAGCUGUGACCAUAAAGUUUAUUCAUUUGCACCAGCCAACCAACCCACUUAUAUAAACAGAGAUUUCCUUUCCUGAGGUUAGUGAUGUGCUCCCAAAGUGUUUGGUUUAGGGAGUUUCCAGUGUAAUUAGUGAUGGCAAUGUAAGUGCUGUUUGAAGGCUUGGUAGCACAAACAUCCCUCUGUAGGGGAAUUCAUUCAAGUCACAGGUUGAUGUUUUUUCUUGCAGGACCUCUGUUAAAAGUUUUCAUUUUUCAUUCCAGGGAUCAGGAAAAGUAAUUGUCGUCUUUAAGCAUGUGAAGAGUUACAAUUAGCAACAAGCUUUCCACCUCUUUCCUGCAAUAAUAACACCUAAAUUACAUUUUUCCAACUCAGUAAAGUGGAUCAUAACUGAUCUUAUCCCCGUGUUACAAAGCUCUUAAAAGCAUAGAAAUGCUAAAAUCCUGCAGGUGCAGGAAGAGCAUGUUUAGCUAAGUAGCUUAAAACUGCUGUGUGCCUUUCAUUCUGAAUAUGUAUUUGCACACAAAAAAAUCAGAUAUUAAUCACUGUUGCCUGUGGAUACAGAUGUACCUUCAUACUGAUGUAUUUUUCAUAUAAAUUUUUAUCCUAGGGGUUGAAGAGUUUCAAUUGCAGCUGUCUGAGAUGUAUUGUUCUCACCAGUUUAGAAAUUACAGUUCUUGAAAGAGCUCACUGGUUCCACCAGCUCCUGCUGUGUGAAUAUCCAUUAAACAGGAUGGAGAAACUGAGCAAAGGACAAUACUGAAAUUUUUACUUUUUAUUUUCCUCUAUCAUCCCUGUCAGGAAGAGGAAAUGAAAUUUGAGAAAAGAGUUGGCAAAAUCUUCAAAAGAAGAGAGAUCAAUGGAACAAUUUACAGUAUGCUUGAUGCAGGCAGUGUGGUGGAUAUUAGGUGCUGCAGAGCUUCAUCCUCUUCCUUCACUGUGCAGCCCAGCCUGGGGGCAGUGAUGCAGCACAGAAGGUGAUGUGUGCAUGGCAACAAGGCCAUGGAUGAAAUCAAGCAGUACAGAAAUCUUUGGAGUCCCACCUAUGUGACAAAAGUGGUCUGCCUGGAUGUUUCUGUGCUCUCCAGUUGCUGCUCGCUGAGAGAACAGAAUGGAAUGAAUAGGUACAGAAUAUUUUGAAAGCAGAUGCAAGCCUGCCUUUCAGCCCUGCAGUGACCAUUCAGUGAGCUCUUCCUUGGGCCAGGCUACUGUGGCUGCCUUGGAGGCUUGCUUGCCCUUCAUGACAAAGCAUCUUCUUUUGGGAUAUUCUUGAUAUAUUUAAACCAGAGAAGCUUUCAAGGCCCAGGCUGUCCUGCUGACAUUGCUGUGCCUUUCCAGCACAACUGAAAGUAUUUUUAGUGUGCAGUUUCAAAGCAGUGUAACUUCUGUCUGUCUCAUUCUGCUGCCUCACAGUAUUCCUGUGUAUUCUGCCUCACUCUAACAGUGGCAGCCUCAGGAUGGCCCAGCCUGCACCUCACCCCCCCAGCCUGCACAGGAAGGAAUGCAGGGUCACAGAGCUGAAGGUAAAAUGACUCAGUGGCUCCUGGCCUGGGGUUCUGUCAGAUGUACAACACAUCAGGGUACAUUAAUGGAUCUAAAUCCUUACUGAAUCUACCAGCUCCAUGCACAACCACCAGAAGUUGAAGCAUCACAACUCUGAUCUGUUGAUCCAAAUGUUUAAUCCCAAAGAGAAAUUCUGAUUUUUCACUUUAUUUUUCAGUACAGAAGCAUUCAGGUGACUUCACUUGAAUUUUUUAGUGCUGAUAUAUAUUAAAACCUACUUUUUGGCACAAGUAAGGCUUUUCCUAUGUCUCUUUGAAACUGACCUGUGGCACCUUCUGGUGCUUAUUCACAGAUCUCACUCUCUUAAUUUUUUUCUGAAUAAAUCAAUGGGCUGAAUGCCCCUGGUACAGCUCUGGCAGAUGAGCAGGGCACCUACAUUUUGCAGAUGAGCAAACGGAGAGACCCAACACUUUAAAUGGAGAAGCCCUGAAUUCUCUUGCAUGGUUUUUGCUUUUGACUUGUGGUUUUCUGCUUACUAUUCACAACAAACAAAUGAGGACAAACACCUACAUACUUCUUCUUCUUCUUGUAGGAGCGUGCCCCAGUGCCACCACACUGCUUGUGUGGUUUGCUGCCUUCCCCUCCCUUGACUGAUAUUCUGUCCCCACUUCUGGGUUCUUGAUCCAUCCCUGCCUCUCUCAGGGCAUAUCUCUUGAAGAUUUUUUUUUGCUUUUCUGCCCUAUAUAUUGUGUAUUAUCUCUCUCCCUCUUUUUUAAAAUUUUAUUUCCUUUCUUUUAGCUCAUCCCCCAAGAUUUUCUUCUUGAUUCAAGAUAAUGCUUGAAUCUGGUGAAAAAAGCAAACCUCCUGUGCUGUAGGGUCUGAUGAACUGCUUCAAAAGCAAAAUGGGAGCAAACAGCAGAGCAGCACAGAGAGAGGAGCUGCAGCAGUCCCUGGUCUGUAGGUGUUGCUGUGUUUCCCUUUGCAGGAAAAUGCCGAGUUUGUGCUGGGUUCAGCAAUCCUGGUGUCUGCACAGCUGAGAGAAAUCACUUCACUGUGAGUGUGAGUGUGCCUCUGCAGCUUUGACAAGCCUCUCACCUGCCCUGGGGAAGGAGCAGCAGGGCUGGAAAGCUGUGAAGUCACAAUAUGCUGACUAAGAAUAAUUUUGGAUCAAACAAGCAUCAUUGGGAAAGGAAGCUGUUUCAUUUCAAGAUGUGGAAGGAAUUUUAAAUCACAUUUGAAAUAAAAUUACCUUGUCCAG